UUGGUUUACUGUUGGCAUUGCAACAAACAAUUCGCGAAAAAUCAUUUGUCAGACUGCUGCAAAACUUUUAUAGCAAAAUUAUAAUAGCGACAAGAAAAUACUGAAUCCGAGCCGAGCGUAUAAACAAAGUGAUACAAUUUAUAUUAAAUUACGGCUAAGUAAAAAUAGCAGUAAUGUGUUUUAUUCCUAAGUUGUGAAAGCAAACAAUUUGCGGCAUCGGUGGUGUUGUGCUGAAUUGUGGCGUCAAAGGCCGAAAAAACUAACAAAGAAAGUAGAGCAAAUAAGCGGCAAGGCACGCAAUGGCUUUAGCUUCUGCAGGAGAAAAUAAACCACCAAUACUUCAUAUAGUGGUCGUAGGAUUUCAUCAUAAAUUAGGUUGCCAGGUUGAGUUCUCUCAUCCACCACUUAUACCAGGAACAACUGGCAAGAAUGAGUGCCCAUCAGGAUGGAAAUAUUUACCCACUUUGGCGCUGCCCGAUGGCUCACAUAACUUCGCCGAUGAUACGGUUUUCUUCAAUUUACCCAGUCUAACAGAACCAACGGAGAGCGUGUAUGGCGUUUCGUGCUACCGGCAAAUACCAAUUGAGAAAUUGAAAAUACGUACCGCCGAUAUGACACGCAGUACUGUGCAAAAAUCAAUAGUGAUCCUUGCACGUCUGCCCAUUUACGGUUAUAUAGAGGUGAAAUUGUCUUUGAUCACAGACGCGUUCUUCGAGAAAGGCGAUUUCUCAUGCACUGAGCUACUAAUAAAGGCAUAUGAACAGCUCAAUGCCUGUUUAUUGGACGAUGAAAGCCAGCGACCACUACGUAAUUUUCACGUGGGCCUAUCGUUGCGAGAGAUCGUGCUGCAUUGGCGUCACAAAAUGCUUAUACUUUUCAAAUUGUUCCUCUUGCAACGACGUGUUGUGUGCUUUGGUUCACCAGUACGUGGAAUGUGCGUGUUAGUGCUGGGCAUCGCAUCACUAAUACCACGUCUGCUGGAAAAAGGCUUUCAGGAAGUGGCAUGUGUGCGUACAUCGCGACCUUUAUCGCCCAUGCCGGACUUUACAGAUUCCAUACAACAGGAAGCAGCUGAAUUGAAGCGAUGCGAGGAACCACUAAUGGAUACGGUGAAAAGUGCACAACAAGAAGAAGCAACUACACUAAAUGAAUGUGCUUGUGAAGAAGCCGAUAAUAGUAUCGGCGACGGUCAUGCUGCUGUCACUGACAUAGUAGACGAUUGCACUUUGGUAUCGUCUGCCAUGUCGGCAGCGAGCCAAGCGGCGAGUGAUGACACAUCGACAGCAGCCUCAACUAAUACAUCAUCGCAGUCCACACGAGAGUUAAACCGUCUGGACUCGUUAGAGGGUGCGUGUGAAGUGGGAAGUAAACGUUUUGUGCGCAGCGAUUCACUAACUCGCGAAGGGAGUGUAGACACUUUGGCAUCCACACUCUGCACUCUGGCUUCAAUAAAUCCAGAUGAGUAUCGUGCGCCUAUUUCGAUUUUCGCCAGCGGAAAUCUAUUCUUGCCAUAUCUCUCGUUGCCAUAUAUGGAUCUUUUAGGUGAUCCGUCUGUACUGAGCUAUGUCAUAGGCACUUCGAAUGUUUUGUUUCAACAAAAGCGCCAACUCGCCGAUGUGCUCGUCGAUGUGGAGAAUGCUAACAUAGAUACACUUGAUGCAGAUCUACGACGUCAACUGGUGUUGAGUACAGAGGAUUUGCGAUUUAUGGACUACAUACUAAAACAUGUGCAAUCGCCUAAAGAAGAUGCUGAGGGCAGUGAGCAUUGGAUACGUGAUCAAUUCCAAGGUUAUAUAUUAGCCUUAUUGCGUACUGCCGUAGCUAAUGAUGUUAUUGCCAAAGAUAAUGAACACUUCAAUGCACAGUUUAUGCAGGCAUUUAAGUGCACGCAAUGUUUUCAGGAAUGGUACGAUGUGCGUCCUGAUGCUGAAUUUUUCGAUGCCUUGCCCGCCGGUCAUCCCUUUGCUGGGACACUUUCUGUAGCCGAUAUGAAGCUAAAAAUUGCACAAACAAUGCAAAACAGUGAAAGUGGACGAAAAAUCAAUCAGGCCGUAAAUACAACAAGUCGAGUAGUUGGCGUUGCGCUCUCACAGGCGAAAGGGACGUUCUCAACCUGGUGGUCAUCCAUCACCACAGCGCCUACACAAGCGGUCACACCAGCCGUUGGUGGGGGUGGAGAUGCAGAGGCUAGCACAGCAACAGCACAACUUCAGGAGCAACAACAGCAACAAGAAAUAUCUGUAACAUUCCAGAAAAAUGUAGAUGACCCAGAACGUGUCAAUAUACAUAUUGAGGGUGAAAAGAAAACAACGACCGACAUUGGUAGCAAUACCAGUAGUAGUGGCAGUGAGAAACCUAUUGACAGCGCCGAAGAAUUAGAUGAAGAUGAGAUUGUGUUGAACAAUAAGACGAUGGCUGAAGACAACGCAAAUGAUGCAGACAACAUGAGUGCACAACAACAACAACUGCAACAAGGGAUUGUCGAGAUUGGACGAGAAGCCGACAUAUUAGAUAAACCCAAAGCUGCACCGUUGCCAACGCCUACUUGCGGUACAGAUGUUGCAAAUGAGACACCCAGAGGCAACGGUGAAGUAUUUAUUGUAUGAAUCCGUUAAAAAUUAUAUAAUUUUUUUACUUGUUAUAGUUUUUGUGAAAAGUCUUAGUUACCAUUAAUGAAAUGAAUUUAUUAUUUUGUAUACAUACGUUAAUGUAUCGCAAUGGACAUAUUCAUGUCCAAGUAAGCCCUUCUCUUUGGGUUAAUGAGUUAAUGACUGCAAAGCGAACUAUUCUAUCCAUCUCCUUAUUUUAUUACAAUUAUUAUCAUUUAAUAAUUCGUAUAGUUGUAGAAGCCAAGUGCAUGUCUGGGCCAAAGUACUUUUCGAAUUAAUCGAAAUUGGUAGGAUUACUUUGUAAACAUCAACUCGCUGUCUAAUUGCAAAUUGCAUUAACUCUAAAGGCCGGUCAUCAGUUGACCUCAGAUGAAUCAAAGAAAUCGGUUAGCUACUUAGUUUUCGUUUAUCAGGCAAAUAGUGCUUCAUCUGGCAGAGAAAAAACUAACUUCAAGGCUUUCAUCUAGUAUUGCGCCCAAAAGUAUACAACUUUUCAUUACUUUCAGCAGUGGCAAUUGUGCGCUUUGGCAUUUAAUUAUAAAAUAUUUUUCAUAUUUAGCAACAAAAUCGGCUUCAUUUAAAAUUUGAACGUAUCUUUCAACACAUUUUCAUCGAUAAUAAGCUCUCAAUCGUCCUUCACUAGUAAUAUAAAACUAAUAAUCAAAAAAGUUUUGUAGCUGUUUCAAGUGCAAUUUAAAUUUAAACUUAGAUUGACAAACAAUGACCUUUCAAAGAAAAAUGAAGAUAUAGUAAAGGUUAUGCGCGAAACUGUGUGGCAAUAAUUAAAAACAAAAGUAAAAAAUAUAAGAAACUCGUAAAGGUUUUUUAUGUACUUGUUACAUAUAAAAUUACAUAAAAUAUAUAAAUAAAAAUAAUAAGAAAACAGUAAAGUGGAGAGCCUAAAGCUGUAUGCUGAAACUUUGUUUACAUUCGAUAGACUUGAGGACCCAUGGGCGCCAGAAGCAUACACAAGUGUUUAAAUUAAUAUGCAAGUUGAUGUGAAGCAAUUACGAAACUACGAAAUAUACCAUGGAGAUAUACAUAUGUAUCUGACUGUAAUAUUAUCAUUAAACCAGUGAUAGGUGAAGUAAAAAGUUCUCAACGGUUUUUCGUUGUAUUUCGGUGAGGAAAUUAAUUGGACUGAAAAGUUCCCUGCUUAACAAAGAAAACAAGUUUUUUUUUUCGAGUUCAAAAUAAGCUUUAUGCAUCAACGUAAUUUCCAUCAAGAACAACGUCAAUUAUUCCAGCGUCGCUUUAACAUUUCAAUACCACUUUUUGUAGAACGAUUUACCUUUUGCCUUAAAAUAGGCCUCAAUUUCAGCGAUAACUUCUUCAUUAGAGCGAAAUUUCUUAUCGGCGAGCAUUUUUUUGGUUUCUGGGAGCCUUCAAAUGCUCCAGUUUUUUUUUUUUUGCCGUAUACGGACGUUUUUGUUUGCAAUUUCGGAAUUCAAACGCUAUAAUAAUGCCAUGUAAUAUUCACUGUUGAUGGUAUUUCCCUUCUCAAUAUAGUCGAUAAAUAUUACACCGCGCACACCACAAAAUACCGAGGUCAUAACCUUUCCAGCCGAUUGUUGUGCUUUGGGGCACUUUGGACGAGGUUGCUGUCAUGAACACGUUCUUGUUUUUGGUCAACAGUUAGCAAACGCGGCUCUCACUGUGAACAGAACUUUCUCAUAGUCAAUUGCUCAUGCAAUAUAAAGCCAACACCUUCUUUUGAUAUUUGCACGAUGUCAGCUGACUCACGCAACUUCACUUUUCGAUCAUUGAAAACGAUUUUUUUGAUGUUUUCUUUUGGACGUCGACUAAUGGCCUCUGGAGACGAUACAGCAUGCUUGACUGAACUUUGUGUGUGUUAGUGCAGUCGGGUGUCGUCGUGUCACACAUACUUGUUGUCGGCUUUUGAAUGAUGAAAAUCAAAAAUUUUAGAUAUUAGCGUCAAUCAGCCGACACGCACACAUAUAAAGUUCUUGUCAAACAAUGCUUGACCGUCACCAGAGGCCAUAUAAUGUAUCAUCGGUGUCUCUACGACCAUGUGUGAAGUCAGCAAACCAUCGUUUUAUUUUUGUUUCUGAUGGAGCGGAGUCCCCAUAACACUUUUCAAGCCAUUGCUUUGCUUGAACGGUAUUUUUCCAUCAAGAAUCAGUUUAAUUUUAAAACACAAAAAUCUUUUUGAUCCACUGUUUUGAAAUAACUCACUAACUAAUGAAUAGAAUAUCAUGAACUUUUAACAGAGUUUUUAUGGGGUUGUAUAUAGUUAUAAGGCCGAAAAAAAAAAGAAUUUUCCAGAAUUUGUACUCACAUAAUGUUAUCUUUUAAUUGUAUUUUAAGGCUUAGUAUUAGUAAAAAUAUUUAUUUGGAAGGGGCUACAGCUGAACUCCGGGAACUCCUCUCAAAAAAGACGUUUUGCGGUGACCACUACAUCUCUGAACUGGAUCCUCUGAAAUUAAAAAGCCAAACAGAUUUCGUUAAAGUAAUGUUAAAUCUAGAAUUAAUCGAAGGAAUAAGCAAAAUAAAAUUUUUUCGACAAAUUGGCGCUUUCUCAAAAAAAAAAAAAAAAAAAUCGAUUUUGACCAAAAUUUCGGCAUUAAAUUGUUUAUAAAAACAAAAAAUAUUUAUCUUCGAUUAAUUACUAAAAAAUAUAUUUAAUACUAAACCUGCCAUAACUGGUCAAAUGACCCUUUUUAAACUUUUUGUCGGAAGUUCUUAGAAAUAACAUUAUUAAAUCGCCGUUUGCCUCCAGGACUUUUAUUAAAAAAUACAUCGAAUGUAUUCAGUCAAACCAAAAUUCUCAAAGAACUUUCUUCAGGCGUAAUGUUACCUUUAAAUCGCCAUUUAUGUAUGCACCGUGAGAUAUGGCUCCAUAAAGACAUCUAGCGGAAAACAUUCGGGACUGUUUAUUUCACCUAAAACAUUGCGUGACCUCCAACGUGACCAAUUGUGCUUGACUAUUCAUUCUUUGUAUGGAAAUUUUGGUUUAACUAAAACACGUUGAAGGUUCCUUUCCAUAUUUCGGAAGGAGUUCGCGAGGUCGUGUCUUCAAGAAUGUAACAAAAGUGGAUGCGUUAAGCCAAUGGUCGACACAUUAUCACUAAACCCAAAGAAAGCUUCACAUAACCACAGCAAAGUAAGAAUUCAAGCAUUUACACGCAGAAUAUUG